rnacentral:rRNA from 1 species
CGGACGGGUGAGUAACGCGUGGAUAACCUGCCUCACACUGGGGGAUAACAGUUAGAAAUGGCUGCUAAUACCGCAUAAGCGCACAGUACCGCAUGGUACCGUGUGAAAAACUCCGGUGGUAUGAGAUGGACCCGCGUCUGAUUAGCUAGUUGGUGGGGUAACGGCCUACCAAGGCGACGAUCAGUAGCCGACCUGAGAGGGUGACCGGCCACAUUGGGACUGAGACACGGCCCAA